rnacentral:rRNA from 1 species
AUUGAACGCUGGCGGCAUGCCUUACACAUGCAAGUCGAACGGCAGCACGGGUGCUUGCACCUGGUGGCGAGUGGCGAACGGGUGAGUAAUACAUCGGAACAUGUCCUGUAGUGGGGGAUAGCCCGGCGAAAGCCGGAUUAAUACCGCAUACGAUCUACGGAUGAAAGCGGGGGACCUUCGGGCCUCGCGCUAUAGGGUUGGCCGAUGGCUGAUUAGCUAGUUGGUGGGGUAAAGGCCUACCAAGGCGACGAGCAGUAGCUGGUCUGAGAGGACGACCAGCCACACUGGGACUGGAACACGGCCCAGACUCCUACGGGAGGCAGCAGUGGGGAAUUUUGGACAAUGGGCGAAAGCCUGAUCCAGCAAUGCCGCGUGUGUGAAGAAGGCCUUCGGGUUGUAAAGCACUUUUGUCCGGAAAGAAAUCCUUGGCCCUAAUACGGUCGGGGGAUGACGGUACCGGAAGAAUAAGCACCGGCUAACUACGUG